GAGUACGUGAAACUGCUUAGAGGUUAAGCCCGAUGAACCUGAAUAUCCAUUAUGGAAAAUUCAUCAUUAAUACUGUGGUAUAUAUUUUUAUAUCAUGGAAAUAGUGUGCAAUUUUUCCAUAUAAGGACAUUGUAAUCUGUUAAUGUUAUAAAUAUUUAUCAAAAGAUCUUUUACUCAUGUUUAUUCAAAUUAGUUAUUUUCGGAUUUCUAACAUAAAAUAAAUGUAAUGGAUUUGAUAAAUCAUUGACAGAUAUAAUUAUAUAAUGUGCUUAAAUUCUUUGUAAUUUUACAAUAAUGAGUAAAUCUAUUACUUAUUUAAUUGUAUGCACUAUUAUGAUUAACAAUGCGAUAGAUUCAGGAUACCUUCGGGACCCGUCUUGAAACACGGACCAAGGAGUCUAACAUAUGUGCAAGUCAUUGGGUAUUUUUAAUAAAACCCAAUGGCGUAAUUAACUUAACUGUUAAAAAUGGGAUUAGUUUAUAUUUUAUAAUGAAUUAUAAAUUCAAUCCCGGGGCGUUCUAUAUAGUUAUGCAUAAUGAUAUUUAUAUUAUUUAUGCCUCUAACUAGAGCGUACCUUGAGCUUAUAUGCUGUGACCCGAAA
rnacentral:rRNA from 1 species